rnacentral:misc_RNA from 1 species
CGCCUAUUACUUAUACACCAAAAGAAAUAAAAAAGUGAUGCUUGAUGGUCCUACCUCCUUUCCUCUACAUCAAGAAAAAUUAUAAACGGUAGAAAUCAAAGAAAAUAUUCACCUGAUUGGUAAUAACCAAUCAAAUGAAGAGACAAACCCAAAAAUAAGUCGAAUGAACCUCCUGUGAGCCACCAUUGAACCAAAAUCAUGAACAAAAUCUUCCAUCUAUUCAUCAUCUUCUGAAUCAGAUCUUAUAUC